GUGGCUGGUUUACUAUCAAAACUGUAGACUAGUAUCCACGUGUCAUCCAAACAAGACAUCCCGGGGCUCUCAAGCCUCAGGCUUGCAAGGCUUCCUCCAGGGAGAUGAUAGCAUCCCAGUUUCCGCUUCUUGUACAGCACAGCCAGCAGCCAUUCUACACGAAGUGGCAGUGACAAACAGCCUCUCUUGCCUGGCAUGCCCCAAGUGAUUCCUAGCCUGGGCAGCAGCCACUGGACACCAAGGAACCAAACUGCGGAGCCAGGAGGUGUUACCCUCGCCUUGCUCCUCCUGCAUUUUCUCUUUAGAGCAACCCAUUAAUAACUGGUAAAGCCAAUUACCGUGGCUUGGAAACAUAAUAGCUACUUGGAAAUCAUUGGAGCAGGCAAUUGGGCUCUCCAGACUUGAGGAGUUAGGGCCAGGUGAAGGGCGCCAGCACAGACAUAGACAUCUCUUGAGGAAGCCUUUCUGGGCCCCUUGGCCACAGGCCUAAAUUAGUCUCAAGGUAAAUCAAUAGAGAGAGGUGGGGGAGGAGCCUGGAAGUUAAUCCCUGCCACUCCAGCAGUCCUGACCUCCCAGCCGUGGGGUAGGGAUGGGGGAUGCAAACCCUUCCCAAGGGACUCCUGUCCUCUGUUUGUCCCAUUCACCCCUGGCCAUCUGCUACCAAGAAGAGGGCCCCUCACCUCUUUUAUAGCCUAUAAAAGAUACCUAUAAAUGUUUCCUUCUUUGCCUAGGUGUCCUUUCCCCUUUGUCUAGAUGCUGUGAAGCCUAAGAGUUUAGUAACAGAAAUGCCAUGUGAGCUUCAGACCGAAGAUAGAUGGAUCAGCUGGGGAGCAUGACCAACUCAAGGGACUACCUGGUGUCCAGGAGUCGAGCUAGCUACAGACGCAGUCCCGUGCUCCUGGGACUUCUCCCACUGCUGCGGCUCUGCUUUCUGCCUGCUCUCUUCCCAAUGCCUAUGGUCAUUAGGAAGAGUGUGGCAAAAGCAGGAGAUGCCACAUUUGAAGACAUACUGAGAGAACAUAGGACAAUGUCUGCCUGAAGUCCCUGAAGUUCCUGAACGAGUGACUAAAUGAAUCAACAAGUUGAACAAAUGAUUCUACCUGGAGAAGAAGAAGAGCCUGGCCCUGAGACAGGCAGCAGAAGCGCUUUUUCUUAGCAGCUGUGCCCCGUGGACGGCCAGAGCCACCCAGCUGGCCUAGGCCCCUGCAGCCUGAGCCCAGGCUGACACACUUUGGCAAGGGAGGCCACCAGAGCUGUCACAUCAUUCACCAACAUGCCCAUCAAGUGUAUUCAGUCCUCUUCAACCCGCAUUGGCAUUUUAAUUACUGUUGGGUAAACUAAUUUGUACAAAUGAAGGCUGGGCUGCCUAAUAGAAUAUGCAAGCUCCCUGACCUCUGGCGGGACUGACAUAAGAUACAAAGGAAGCGGGGAAGGCUUUUAUCUGAGCCUUAUUACUCUCUAUUACUCCAAUUAGUCAGGCUCCAGUGCUCCUAAUUGGAGGAAAAAUUGCAAUUAAAUCAAUUUUUGAUGGGCUGCAA